rnacentral:lncRNA from 1 species
AUGCUGGAGGAGCCCUCGCUGGGGACGCAGGCGGCGCGGGCAGGAGGAGGGCUGGGAGCAGCGUCAGCUUCAAAGCAGCACGCGCCACGCCAGGCUCCGAGCAGCUCCAGCUCCGGUGAGGUCAGCGAUACGAUGCCAGAGAUGAAAAUACCCUCCUGCUUAAAACAAAAUCCCUUCCUUCCACCGCCGGCGGCACGGGAUGAGCACCGACAGCCUGAAGGAGAAAUGAAAGCUCUUUCUCCAAGGUCACCGAGUAGCAGCGACUGUGUCCUGGUUUCAGAAAGUGCGGGGAAGGAUUUACCCACGGCCCCUCUCCUCCUCCUCCCUGCAGGUUUCAUGCUGGAUUCCCAAAACACAGGUCUCCACCCCACAGGAAAAAAAAAGAACCAUCCAUCAGAAGUCACCCACCAGCAGCUUGGGACACAUCCUCGGAAGCAACCGAGUUCCCUGGCAGCUUGCUGGUGAUCCUGCCCUCCUGCAAAAUGAAAUGAACUGGCUUAACCAGCAAGGAAAUCGGUGCAAAGCUCUGGGAAGGGGUUUGAGCUACAGGAGCUGCUCCAGAGUGGCACCAGGUUGAUACCAGGCUGUCGAUAGCUGCAGCUCAGCGGAUGGAUGAGGAUGGAAUCGUGUCUUUGUCCCUCUGGGCACUCAAAUGCCUCCAGUUUAGCAAAAUAAAGUUUUUGUAAUUCUGUAGUGGUACA